CAGAGAAUCUUCCUCAAUGGCCGAAAGGCUGAAGGAGCGACGCCGCGUGAAUGAAGAAGCCCUUCGGGGUGUAAAGUUCUUUUAUUUGGGAACAAGCUUCGGCUGAGUGUACCAAGUGAAUAAGCACCUACUAACCACGUGCCAGCAGUCGCGGUAAUACGUGGGGUGCGAGCGUUAUCCGGAUUUAUUGGGCGUAAAGGGUGCGUAGGCGGUUUAAUAAGUUGGAUGUCAAAUUUCCGUGCUUAACAUUGGAACUGCAUCCAAAACUGUUAGACUAGAGGCCGGGAGAGGUAAGCGGAAUUGCCGGUGUAGGGGUGAAAUCCAUUGAUAUCGGCAAGAACACCGAAGGCGAAGGCAGCUUACUAGAACGGCCCUGACGCUGAGGCACGAAAGCGUGGGGAGCAAAAAGG
rnacentral:rRNA from 1 species